rnacentral:lncRNA from 1 species
GAACCAGGAAAAAUCAUCUGUUUGCCAGUGUCCCAGACCAUGCUAGCUAGCGUAUAGAUGGAGCAGACGCAUGGCCUCAUGGUGUCCCCUUGUGGUCAUGAGUGUAUCUGCAAGCCGGUGGUGUCGAGUUUUCUGAAAGGAAGGGGAGGGAGGGAGGGAGGGAGGAAGGAAGGAAGGAAGAAAAGGCAAAAUAUGCUUUCAGUCAGCAUAUUUUAAGAUGUGACAGUCCCAUCAAAACAAUACAACUCAUCGAACUUUAAAGUAACCGCUGUAAUAAAAUGUGGACACAUUCCUGAGUGUUCUCCAGCGGCCUGACAGUGAGAGAUGCCAAAACAUUUUGAAUGACAACAAUGAGCCAGGGAAGGGAAGCUGGGUGAGUCACGUGCACAUGUGUGAGAAUUAGAGUCUAGACCCAGAAAGCCAGGGGAGAGGUGGAGACGGCUGGAAGCUGAGCUCCCUGUGAGCUUUACAAAACUCGAGGCUCCUUCCUUGGCUCAUCUGCGCACACGACGUGCACGGGCAUCAGCUAUCACAGGACCAGGUUUCAAAGGCAGAGGGACACAAAGCAAGUUAUGAAGGGAAUCUUAAAUCUAAAGCCACUGUCACAAAAAGCCCAUAUUAUAAAACAUGGAGAAAUCAGAGUGGCACUCACACGGAAGCUCCAUCCCUGCUCUACCGUACUGUGCAUGCCUCUGGAGCCUCUGGAGGAGAAAGGAAAUCCAUCACUCUCAGCCAGCUGUGAACCCUGCAAGCUACACUCACUGAUGCAAUAGUAGCACCAAUGUUAUGGAAGUGACCAACCACUUCUGUUUGGAUCUAGGGACCACCUCAUGAAAUGGAACCCAUACUUGGCACUGUUAGCAGGGUCAAGAACCUGUGCUUAGAUAUGUCACAGACCCUGGGAGAGAACCUAAGACUAUUUAUUAUUCUGCUAAAUGGACACAGCGUGGAAACAACUCCUAACGACUUGGUGCAUCCCUCAGCCAUCAUCAGAGAAGCUUUUUCCUGCAGUAGAUGGCAAAUGACCCUAAGACUCUGGUCCAGGUGCAGAUAAUAAGAGACUGUGGGGUGCUUAGUCCUAAAUGGGGAGUACAUAUCACACCCCUAUAUCCAAGGGUGCUUAAUCCUAAAUGGACUAAAUAGUACUAAGUACUAAAUAGUACAUAUCACAUCCCUAUAUCCAAGGCUCAGUGAUCCUCAAGGGAAGACUGUAAGAAGCAGAGGUGGUGGACAACCUCUAUAAAUCAGUGCUUGCCAGACACAGCAGGGAAGCUGGGCAUAUAACUUGAAGCAGUUGUGACAGCAUGUACAAGCCCUUUCCAAGCUCAAGUCAGCAUGGACCGGCACUGGGAGGUGGAAAUCCCACCACUAGCUGAGGAACUAUCGCGGCAAUGAUAGCUUCGGGGAGAAGGAGAGUCAGUUUUCUCUAAAGUUGCUAACCCUGGUGGGUUGUGGCACACUGGUAGGAUUUGCUGAAGGAGGCAGAGGCAGGAGGAUCAUGAGUUCAAGGCCAGCCUGGGUUACACAUUUAAAAAAAAAGUUGUUACCCCUGGUAGGGUGACAACAUCCCAGGGAAGUUCUCAUUCCCAAGAGUACUUGGGCAACACAAACUGGACUCAAUAAAAGGAAAGAAAACUAGAUAUUGAGUUUAGGGAGGUAAAAUAGAGUGUGGAUCUUGGAAAAGUUGGGGGAAGAGAGGCGAACUUGAUCAAAAUAACAUAGGGGCCGGAGAGAUGGCUCAGUGGUUAAAAGCGAAAGAAUUGGGUUCAGUUACCAGCACCCACAGGGUGGCUCACAAGCGCCUAUAACCCUAGUUCCAAAGGAUCUGUCGCCCUCUUGUGGCCUCUUCGGGCACUGCAUCCAUAUGGUGCACAGACAUGCAUGAAGACAAAACACCCAUACAUAUAAAUUAAAAGCAAACAAAUCUUUAAAAAAUACAUUGUAUGACAUUCUCAAAGAAUUAAUUAAAAUAUUAUUUAAAACUUCUUAUCCAUAUGAAAAUUUGAAUUCCCCGCAAUAUAGUGUGUACAGGUACGAGAGGGAGGGUGUAUCCGUCAGGCCACCCUAGCUGGACUGUGUGAGGGAGAAGCUUCCAGGCAUGGACCUGUGCCGUGCCUGCUUGAGGUUUUCUGAAGCUCUGUGGAUGAGUUUUCCCUGCCUGCUGUGUCACUAUGCCUCACGAUUUCUCACAGCCUCGGCUGACACAUCUGGGCACAGGGGCGGCUUCCCAGGAGUCUGAGCGGCAGACCGGGUGUGGAGGGGGGGGGACACAGCUCCUGUCCAGGUUCCUUUGGCCAUUGGCUCCACACACACCUGCUCAUGACUGUCCCCACAGUGGCAGAACACGCUUUGUCAGCAAUUGGCACCUUCAGGGAUUUCACCCGUAGCAGGUGGAGCAGGGUGCUGAUUCCCAUACGGAGCACAAAGCGGUGUUCUUACACCGUGGCACUCUGGAGCAGGACGAGGCAGAGCCUGAGGCUGGAGUACAGCUGAAUUCCAGGCCAGCCUGGGCUGUCAGAACCAGCCUUGAGUACUUGUGCCUCACAGUCAGAGUUCCCUUGCUCGGCCGCUUGUUCCAAGCUUCAGUUUCCCCAUUGAAGAGUGCUUUCUCAUGCUGGUGGAGUGACACACCCGGUGGGUUGUUAGUGUGGACUUGACUCAGCACCAAUGUUGAUGGGGCAACUGGAGAUUCAGCAACUGUUUUGUAACCACAAGGCCACAAAUCCUCUGCAGAAGUAACAGAGACAAGCUCGAGUCUUUUGUGAUGUCACAGAGACAAACCACUGAUGCAGAAAUAUCCGUCUAUUGGAUUUCCAAGAUAAUUAAAUGUUUGCAUCACUUAAACCACUGAUACUUGAAACUCAAAACAUUUCUAAUAUAUAUUGCCUCUUCUGAGAACUUGGUUUCACAAUUCCCAGGUGGUACCUUAUGGAUAUGGUUUAUGCAAGGAAAAUGAUGAGCAGCUUCAAUGAGGGGAUCCAUCUUCAGAAGUGCUGGUUACCAUCAACUAGGGGACCCAUCCCCAAAGACACCCCGGUAACCAUCAAUAAGGGAACCACCCUCAAAAGUCUGUCAGCUAAGGGACCCAUCCUUAAAGUUGCUGGACACCAUCAGCUAGGGGACCCAUUCAUCAAGAUGUUGGCUAGUAUUGGCACCUCUGUAUACUGUAAGUGAAAAUUCAAGGGUCUGUGUUGAAUUUCUUGUUGUCUAUAUAACAAGAAAAAUAUUAGUCAAACCUACUAUGUGGGAGAGUUUAUAGGGUACCUGGCUGGUACUUCUGAGUGUUGUCAAGACCUUGAAAAACAAGAGUGAUGGGAGAAACUGUCACAGAGCAUUGGAGGCUCACAGAGACAGACAUGGAAGCUGAAUGCACCUGGUAGGAAGGAUACGUAUACAAGGAGGACAUUAAUUUAAAUAAUGGUGAAUUUAGCCAAACAUAGUGAUAUAGGCCUAUAAUUCUAUUGGGAGGCAGAAGUAGGGGGAACUUGAGUGCAGGGCUGGUCUGGUAUACAUAGAGAGACCCUGCCUCAAAAACCCAAAGGAUCAGUGGUAGAGCGCCUGCCUUCCCAACGCCACCAGGAGAAAAAGUACUAGGGAAAUUCAAAUGGAAUCUGGAGUUUAGUGAAUGAGAUUCACCAAUACCAGCUUGGCUUUGAGAAGCACAUAAUGAUAAUGUAAGAUACUUACAGCAUGGGAGGUGAGCAAGGCUCACCUCUGUCCUGCUGUGGAAUUGUCCUGUAAAUUCCCAAUCUUUUAAAAAAGAGUUAACCUAAAAAUACUACGUGUGAGUGGUUAGUUAUCUGGUCAAAGUGCAGAGAACUAGUGACUGUCUAGCACUCAGCUCUACAUGUGACAUCCCUACCACACUGUCCCUUCCCAAGGUUCAGGGAGCAUUGAGGAGGAGGGAGUUGGACAGAUUUUGAGCUGGAGAAAGGACCGCUGUGACCCGGUGUCUUCUGGACACAACAGUCAUGAACACACAGCACCUGUGGCUGCUUGCACAUGACCAACACAAGAUCAAGCAGCCAACGUUCCAGCAUGGAUGGGGAGGCAGAGCCUACAAAGAUCCACCCCUAGCUGAGGAACUAUGGGCAGUUGAUGGCUACUGAGUGAGGAAGAGUCAUCUUUCUUCAGGGGCGUGGCCCAUGGUAGGCUGCCCAUGCUCCUACCGUUU